UACAGAGGUCUCAAGCGUUGUUCGGAAUCAUUGGGCGUAAAGGGUGCGUAGGCGGCGAGGUAAGUCAGAUGUGAAAUCCCGGAGCUUAACUCCGGAACUGCAUUUGAUACUGCUUUGCUUGAGGACUGGAGAGGAGAUCGGAAUUCACGGUGUAGCAGUGAAAUGCGUAGAUAUCGUGAGGAAGGCCAGUGGCGAAGGCGGAUCUCUGGACAGUUCCUGACGCUGAGGCACGAAGGCCAGGGGAGCAAACGGG
rnacentral:rRNA from 1 species